UACGGAGGGGGCUAGCGUUGUUCGGAAUUACUGGGCGUAAAGCGCACGCAGGCGGAUUGAUUAGUCGGGGGUGAAAUCCCGGGGCUCAACCUCGGAAUUGCCUUCGAUACUGUCAGUCUUGAGUCCGGGAGAGGUGAGUGGAAUUCCUAGUGUAGAGGUGAAAUUCGUAGAUAUUAGGAAGAACACCAGUGGCGAAGGCGGCUCACUGGCCCGGUACUGACGCUCAUGUGCGAAAGCGUGGGGAGCAAACAGG
rnacentral:rRNA from 1 species